GCCAGACUCCUACGGGAGGCAGCAGUGGGGGAUAUUGCACAAUGGGGGAAACCCUGAUGCAGCGACGCCGCGUGAGUGAAGAAGUAUUUCGGUAUGUAGAGCUCUAUCAGCAGGGAAGAAAAAAGACGGUACCUGACUAAGAAGCCCCGGCUAACUACGUGCCAGCAGCCGCGGUAAUACGUAGGGGGCAAGCGUUAUCCGGAUUUACUGGGUGUAAAGGGAGCGUAGACGGCAAUACAAGUCGGAAGUGAAAUACCCGGGCUUAACCUGGGAACUGCUUUGGAAACUGUAUGGCUGGAGUGCUGGAGAGGUAAGCGGAAUUCCUAGUGUAGCGGUGAAAUGCGUAGAUAUUAGGAGGAACACCAGUGGCGAAGGCGGCUUACUGGACAGUAACUGACGUUGAGGCUCGAAAGCGUGGGGAGCAAACAGGAUUAGAUACCCGAGUA
rnacentral:rRNA from 1 species